UACAGAGGUGGCAAGCGUUGUUCGGAAUUACUGGGCGUAAAGGGCGCGUAGGCGGCCUCUUUAGUCAGACGUGAAAUCCCCCGGCUUAACCUGGGAACUGCGUCUGAUACUGGGAGGCUAGAGUUCGGGAGAGGGAUGUGAGAAUUCCAGGUGUAGCGGUGAAAUGCGUAGAUAUCUGGAGGAAUACCGGUGGCGAAGGCGGCAUCCUGGACCGAAACUGACGCUGAGGCGCGAAAGCUAGGGGAGCA
rnacentral:rRNA from 1 species